rnacentral:rRNA from 1 species
UACGAAGGGGGCUAGCGUUGCUCGGAAUUACUGGGCGUAAAGGGCGCGUAGGCGGAUACUUAAGUCGGGGGUGAAAGCCCGGGGCUCAACCUCGGAAUUGCCUUCGAUACUGGGUAUCUUGAGUUCGGGAGAGGUGAGUGGAAUGCCGAGUGUAGAGGUGAAAUUCGUAGAUAUUCGGCGGAACACCAGUGGCGAAGGCGACUCACUGGCCCGAUACUGACGCUGAGGCACGAAAGCGUAGGGAGCAAACAGG